CUUUAACCUCUUAUCGUAUCUUCUUGGUAACCUUGUGUUUUACGGUGGGACCCGGGGGAUCCAAGUAUCCUCAUUUAAGGCCAGCUCCUCGCAAGCUCGUCCCGUGCCCGCUUCACCCGCUUGGUCGUGUCUCCUGUAAUGAUGCCCUUUCUCCGCACAACUGUGAGCCACCCAGGCUUCCUUGUAAUGAUGCCCUUUCUCAUUCCUAACGGCCUACACGUGUGCUGGCAUCCCUGCGACAGAGACACAAAACAUCGCCGCACACCUCCUUCCAACAGCCGUCACGUUUCUCUUGCCCCUUUUAGGUAAACUGUUGGAGAAGGCGUUUUCCUGCCACACGGGCGGGCCCUCCAACUCUCUUGACCUCCUCCAAUCAGUCAUUCCCCCCCACCUACACCGCUGGAAGCAGUCUUGCUGAGGCACAUAUGGGGAACUCACACAUUUGUUAAGUCAGCCUGGGAAGAAGGGCUUUUUUUCUGAGGGAGGCAGUUUUGGCAGCCCAGGAGAUGGUUCGGAAGGUUAGUGGGGUGUAGCCUUUCUCCUAAGUUCAGGGGUGGCACACCUUUAACAAUUCAUUUGGCUUAGUAAAUGUUCAGUAAACAUUAACAGAUCCCAUUAUUCAGACUGUCCUAUUAACAGGAAUAUCCUAUUAAGAGAACACUCGUUUUCACUCUCCCCCCUCCCCACUGGCAGGGUACCCUGGCAGAACAAAGACCUAGCCUGGGUCAUUUUAACAACAAAUAUUUUCGAGCACUUAUUUCCGUGUGGCUCAACCUAAUACCACAUUUCAGGCUGUGCUGUGUGCUUUACAUGUAUUAUCUCGUCCUCAAAACAACCUUAUGGGCUAGAUCAUACUAUUCUCCAUACUGUCCGAGGAGGAAGCAAGCAUAGAUUGAAUAACUGCACAAAGGUAGUUUGAGGUGGAGUUGAGAUUUGAAACUAGGUAAUUUGACACCGCAGCCUUAGUUCUUUCAAACUACUUUACAUGCCUCCCAGAGUUUUAAGACCUAACCUAUAGAAAGGUACCAGGGCUUGCAGGGAUCCUGAAAGUCCUUUGCUACGUGCCUCCCUUCACACAGGGUUACGUGAAGCCAUCAGGGAUGGAUGGGUUAAUUACGACUGUCCUUAAAGGUGUCCAUCAGCUCAGCUUCCUUGGGUCAUUCAUCUCAACAGAGUUGGAAGUUUUUGUCUAGAUACAACCUGAAACCCGUUAGAUUCACUAAAGAUCUUAAUCCUGGUGACUCAUGUCCAAAGAGUAUGUCUUUUCCAUUGAUAGCCACCAUUUUCCCGAGUCCAUUCAUUCCCAUACCCUUUAUCUUUCACAGAAAUGGUAAUGUCACUGUAGUCCCUGAUAGUGAUUUCACGUAGAACCAAGAAAGUUAUGGUGCCCGUAUUUUCUGGAGCAGAAUAGUUGACACGUGGCGUAGAGUGACUAUAGAAAAAUCUAAGACAGGAGUCCUCCAACAAAUGUGUACGGAGCACCACUGUGGUCCAGGUCUCUGGCAGGUUUGGGGGAUACAAAGUCUUAUAAGAAAUGGCUCCUGGCCUUGCAGUUCUCACGCUUUCCCUAAUACAAGUUCUCUGAACAGCGUUUAUGACUCAGUAUUUCAAACUGGGUAGCUGCGGCCCAUGGGAAUUUAGAAAUAGGAAAUUUACUUGAACUGAAAAUGCUGUUCUUCGGAAGAACUCCUUAGGCAUGCUCUCUCUAGAGGACUCUCUAUAUAGUACUUGGCAGCUCCAUGUAGAGUUCUCUCCUUCCCAUUAUUGUACGCCUCUUUAAUAGGUCCUGUGGCUUCUAGUUUUCUCUUUACCCGUUUGACACUGGUUAUGUUUUAUUUUUUAUUUUUUAAGUAGGCUUCACGCCCAAUGUGGGGCUGGAGCUCAUGACCCUGAGAUCAAGAGGCGGAUGCUCUACCGACUUAGCCAGCCAUGCGCCCUGAUCUGUUUUAAACACUACUCAGAUUCUACUUCUGUUUUAGAACUUCACAUGGUUCCCUGUUGUUCUCAGUGUCAGGUUCAUACUCCUUGCUGUUGAAUUGUGAGGCAGGCCACGGUCUGCCCCACACUCUACUUUUUAGCCUCCUUUUAGUUGCUAUUAUUCCUUUUGUUCUCCAGUGACCACUCAGCCAGAUGUGCUGAACUGUGAGGUCUGACUGUGUGAAACUGCCGUUUUACAUAUCAAAAAUGGUCUAAGACUUGCAAUUCAAUACAGUUCAAGUUCACACUUGCCAUUCCUGCAUGAUACUGUACUUUCAGACCGCUUUUCCGCAGAAUGUCUCCACUUGCUUCAUCUGAUAAGCUCCCACUUAUCCUUUAAAACCCAUGGCGGAUGUCCCCUCUCCAUGAGGCUUUCCUGGCUCACCCGGUGGAAUUAGUGCCCCCAGCAGAGGCUCACACCCUGGAUGUGAUUCUUCUCCCCACUUAGCUUGGCGGGAGUUACCAGUCCACUCCUACACGAUGCUGGCCCCGCCUUGUCUGGCCCGUGAACAUCCCAAGGAAGGGGACCAUAUCACAAAGAUCCCACAUCCUGCAUAGUCCAUAGUGCCACGUGCAUAAUGCUGACUAUUGGAGGACUACCCGCUUCCUUUAUGAACUUGUAAUUAUGAAAAGACACUCCUACAUGUUUUUAAAAUUCUGAUGUCGUUUAUUGGCACAAAAAUUAUUCAGAUACAACAUGGUGUCUAGAAUGGCUGCACUUGAUACUUUGUGCAUUUACUUUAAUAUUUCCUUUGCUCAGAAUUCCCAGCGGGUACCAGACCUUCCCUCUCUGUUGAGCACCUCCACGACGGCAUUUCUAUUUCCAAGCCCUUGCUCUAAACACAGAGCGUUCGGACUUCACUGACAACAUCCCAAAACCGUGCUGGGGAAGGCCACUGUGGGCCACCCUACCGCACCACGAUCUCUGUGCAUUUGCUCAGCUAAGGCCACCCAGCGACUGGAAGAAACUCCCCUCCUAGCACUGGGGCCUUGGAUUGAAGUGAGUCAAGUCGCGGCAUCACGAGUGAGGCAGAAGACAGGCGCUUGCCACCCAUUUUGGCCCAUCUUACAAAUGUUGUUGCCGUCCGCGGACCAGUGAGGUAACGGGAUGGGUGGAAGUGACCAAGUCAGCUCCUCCCGAUUUCUAACACGUGUCCUCCAUGGCCUGAGGCUUCCUGACUGUGCAGAGUUUGCCGUGUCCUUAUCGGGAAGGACAAGGAGGCCAUUCUUCCAUCAGCAAUGCUUAUGAUGAGUUCUCUUGUGAGUUAAGUCAAAACCCGUAUUUCUAAGUUAUGGAUCUUCUGUUCCCCCAAAUCAAUGGCUUGAUUUAUGUAGUAUUUCUGUGUUUACUGUCCUGGGAACCGAAUCAAGCCUUGUGUUUCUGACAAUAUAUUCUUCAACAGCAGCUAGAAAGUUGGUUCAAACCAACGUUUAAUAUACAGUAGUUCUUUUCAUUUACAUUUCAAGAUAUUUAACAAAGUCGAACUUCCUGGCCAUGGUUGCGGUUUAGUGGAAGCAUAUCCAAAGUACAAAAGCCUCAAGAGAAACGCUGUGGGCCCUUCUGGGCCUUGGGUUACCAAAAAGGACACCUAAGAAGACAGAGACAAAAGGAAUAUUUUAAUAAUUUGGGCUUCUUCAGGCCUUUACACAGAUACACUGAAAGUGGAGAGACCAAGGUCUGACAACCCCUGGGGACAUUCCUUGAGAUCUCCCACAACUAAUUGUGUCGGACACACUCAUCAUUUCCAGUCAAGGGCUGAUGCCUGCUGCGGUCCCAGAAGGACACUUCGCCAUCCUCCUCCCUCUCAAGUUUCUAUCUUCAAACGUGCCUCCGGCAAUUCAUCAAAGCAGACCCCAGCGUGGUCCUUGAGGUUACAGUCCCAGAGCAUUAAUUAGUCUUUGCGUCUCCUGCUCUGUCACUGCUCUGGCUUCUUUUCUGUGGCCCUUCCCUCCAUCUUUGAAUUGACAGCAAAAAAUCCAAAAAGAACCUCUCUCCCCACCCCUAAGGAAAGGGGGACUCACCUACUUUUCUAAACCACUUUUUAAUGUAAUUUUAUUUCGGUGUUUGCCUUCCAAGUAGGCACCCGUGUUUCUCAAGUGGCUCCCUUUCUAGAACUGUGAGCCCACACGGUGAAUACCAACUUUUAAAGAGAUCUGACACUACGAUUACCCUUUAUGGAUAACCCCCCCCCCCCCCCACCCCAGGCUUUCUGCAGCUCUGGGACUGGGGCACAGGACGGGGCCCCACUGGCUGGUUUUAGCACAGGCGCUCUGGCACGCCCACUCACCAGCCGAUGUAGCACUGGCACAGGUUUUCAUGGGAUGUUGCUUGCUUGAUCAGCAGCUCAACUUGAGUGGGGACAUCCAGGGUUUCGUCAUGAGAAAAGUCCCGACCUAGGACAGGAGAAACAAAAACAGCUCUUGCGCACCUGUUUUUCAGCUCCGUCCUUGCCCCGGGGUCGGCUGACCUGUCUGUGCAGCCCGUAUCAGGUUCUCCUUGCCUGUGAGUAUGAAGGCUACGCGGUGGCUGGAUUUUAAAUUCACCUCCGUGUGACAUGAACACACACCGGUCUCCUCCUCCAGACAGAGACUGGGUGUGAAGAGGGUAAGGGUGAAGGUCUGCGGUUGGCUGAGGCCUGGGGUGGUGCAGGUCUGGCUGGUGGGUCUGCGGAGAUUCCUUUUAUCUGUUGCCAUCUUCAGGCAAGUGGACGGGAAACCCUUCCCCCUCUCAAUCCUAUAACCUCCGUUGUUGAGCCUUUGCUCCCACGGGCCGGCUUGCCUCCGUCAUAAACCAGAACAGGCACUCGUGGCCGGCCGAUGAAGCCUCGGGUGAACGUGCCCGUCCACCUCCCCGAGGCUGAGCUCAAGACGGCUGAGCUGGCUUUUCACCGCGGGCUUCUCACCGCCAGCACGUGCCCUCGGCUCCUCCUUUACAAGUUAAUUCAUUCACUGAGCUCAUGGUUUCGGACCCCUGAUGUGUCAGGCAGCGCUCGAGGCGCUGGGUUUGCUGGACACGAGCUCUCUCCUCAUUGCUGCUACCGUCUGGAGGCACCUCUCCUCCCACUGAAGGCGAAAUUCCUCUGCACUCGGAUCCCAAGGCCUCCCGGUGCCUAGGGGGGCUUCGCACGGUCACUUGCCCUCCUUCCCUGUCUUUAAACUUUGUAAACUAGGUCCUCUUGCCCAUUAAAGAACAAAGGGCUCCCGCCCAACUACUCCCUCUGCAGCCAGGGACCCUCCCGUCCCUGCACAGCCAGCUUCUCACACUUUUGAGACUUGUCUCCCCUGCCUGGCUUCUCUCCCCAAGUUCACAUCCUCUUCAACCCCUUUGGUCUGGCUGCCAGCCUUGUCACACUCUCAGAAGGCUGCCAGUGACUCGGGGCUUCCUGGGUGCCUCCCAUCCUCACGCCCCAUCAUCAUCAAUCAGUCCCUUGGAUUUUGCCUCCUGAAGUUCUGGAAGCCACCUCAGUCUAGUCAACUGUCCGGCCGCCACUUCGGCACCUGCUUCCUCCCUCCAUGCAGCCUCCACGUGGCAGGACAGGCAGGAUUCCCCAGGGUAAACCCAGCGGGCCAUUCCCGCCUCUCCACCCCACUUCAAGACCUCAGGGCCUUCCCACUGCCCUGAGGAUGGAGAACGAAAAUGCAAGGCCCCGCGUGACCCCGCCCCAGCCCCCUCAGAGUGAAGCAUUUUGCGCUGUGCUCCUCCCGUGUCGCUCUCUGCGGCAGUCACACUUGUCGGCUCUCAGACCAUUUUUCUUGCCAGCUUCCUUCCCACCACGGGGCCCUUGCAUGUGCCGUUUCCCUUACCUAGAACAAUCUGCCUCUAAUUACGUCCUUUUUCGGGUGUUAGCUCAAGGGCUGUUUGCCUAGGGAAGCUUUCCUGAACACCAGCACUUAGAUUUCCCCGUUACCGGCAUCACAGCCCAAGCCCUUUCUUGCACCUGCCACAGUGUCUCCUUCAGACGUUGACCCCACGAGGGCAGGAAAUCCAGCUGCUUUUACCAGCACAGUUUCUUCAGCAUCUAGCGCUUGUAGGCGCUCAAUAAAUAAAUACGACUUGACCACAACACUUCUGUGCCAGCCCCUCAUGCUAAGGCUUGGCAUCCCAGGUCUCACUUGAGCCCCGCCGCCUUCUGAGAGAGGCGCUGUCGUCAUCUUCCAGAUGAGCAGACAGGGAGGCCCAGGAGUCACACAGGAUGCGGCAGAGCUGGGGUCUUCGGUCCCUGUGACCACUGCCCCCCCACCCCCACCCCAUCAUACCCUCUGGUCUGUAUGACACGUCUCGUUUUCAAAAGUAUGCAUUUCUCUCCCUCCACGCUCUCCACUCCGUUAACAGCCACCAAAGUGCAGGAAGGCAGUGAAUGAGAGUGGUCAGAUUUGCUCCAGUGUCAAGCCAGGAUGAGAAGAAAAAUUUUUUCCUGAAUUUGGCGGACUUUGGACCCAAAAGGACUGUAUCCACCUCUGUCUGUUAAAAUGAGAUUAACGUCUGCUUACAGUGGGUUUAUUGGUCUUUAGAGAAUCAGAGAGGGUCCUUGACGGAUACAGCCUCGGAGACCCUCCAGUGAGCUGCAGAGUCCAAGUUUAGGCGCCAACACCGCCGGGAAGAGGCUGACCACCCACUCGAGGACAGAGAAAUCUCUCAAGAGUCUAUGUUCCUUUUAAGCGAACGCACACACAUACUCACCAGUGAGCUUGUCUCGAACCCGGUUGAUAAUCUGAAUAGCUUUCUUAUUUAGGGCCUCUGGUUUCACCAAACCGUCUCCAACUGGAAUACACAAAAGUAGAAAUAACAGUAGGAUUGGAUCAUCUCAACAGUCUCAACGGAUGCCCCUGUUUUUCUCAAAUAUUCACUUUUGUAAGUGUUGGGUAAUUCUCCCCCUGUGUCUGUCUCUGUGCUCGGAAUAUAAAGAGGAAUUCACAGAGCGCUAUCUGCUCAAAGGCAGUUUUGUUGCCUCGCCCUGUUGGCCCCUCUCAUGGCACAACACAGCCGCUGUGCUCUUCAUGAGCCGGUCCUCGGUGCAGUUCCUCGGCCGUUGCACUUACUGAAGGAAUGAAUGGACUCUGGCACCGUGGUCCCUGUUUUCUUAUGCGCGGGUUCCCCAAGCUCCACACCGUCCAAAAUUUCUAGGAGGAAAAAGAAUCGACUGGCAGAACAUUCUACCACCAAGAAACCACUGUUUCAAGUGUUAGCUCUACUUCUCCACACACCACCUCCCCUUUCAAGCUCGCCCUGCUACCUCUGAGGGGAAAGGAGAGGAAGAAGGGUCACUAUGGAUUUGAAAGAUCUUACGUCUCCAAACACGAAUUUUCAAGCAAACGGCCUUUAUAAAAUGUUCUGACGUAGAGAACAGGAGCGGGAAUGAAAGCCCUGCUGUUAAGACUUGUUUGGCUCGACAAAAUCUGAUGAUACAAAAAACACGAGCCUUCCCUGGGUCACGCUCAUGACCCGAGUGUUAUUCUUUGGAGGAAUCUAUAUGCCAUUUCUGGGCAGAAAAAGUCCUCAGGCCUUGGGGUCACUCUCCACCAGUUGUGGCCUUCAGGAGAAAAGAGUCUGGAAGGAGGAGUAUGAGGUUAUUUGCACGUUGCCCUUGCACACCACAGGCCUUCAAAAUGAAGCGAGUAGUAAUAAUAGUUCUAUGAAACUUCACUUUUAAGCCACAUGACACCAGCCGGGUCCACCACUCUCUGGUGCCACCAGAACCAGCUGUCCUAAUUCCCCGUAGGCAGCACAGAGGAGUCACGCGAUAAUGUACGAAUGAGGUGGACCCUGAGCACGAAAGUCUCACAUACUUUGGACAAGACCAGUCACCCGCACAAAGUAUCCCAGACACUGCAAGUAAUUCCGGCAUCAUUCACAAAUCCUGUCGUAGUGUCCGCGGUAGAGUCCGCACCGGUUCACAGACUGCACCAUAGCCCAGGACCUCAAUGUCCUGCCCAGAACACCCUCUUCCCUCCCACCUGUCUGAAAUGGCCAGCCUAAAUCGCACUGACCCGGGACCUCCCUUCUCGACUGCAGUUCAGAGUGGUAGGUUCUUGCUCUCAGCCCCACAGCCUCUCCUCUGAACCAAACUGCAAACCGUGAGCUGUGGGACCACACGGGGCGGGGGGAUGACGGUUCUCUGAUCAGUUCGUGGACUAUAUGUUUUGACUGAUUCUGUGAUGUGAUUCUAUGCUUCUCGAAGGUAAUCUCUGUAUGUCACACUCUUUUUGCACCCUUAAACAUUAUUUGGCUUAGCUAAGUAACAAGUUGCAGAUGUUCCAUUGGUAUUUGUAGAGAAUACUUACCUUUUCUUACACCCCAACAGUAUUUCCAAGGUGCGAACUAUGUAGGAUGUUGUUAGAUGUUAUGGGGGAAACAGGGGAGGAGGGACGGGCAAGGUGAAACAAAGUUAAACCGCUUUACUCUUAAGACUUUUGAGAGGUUCACACAAACCCCGUUCUGGCUCUUGAAGGGCAUUAUCUUCCAGGGACCCUGUUCUGUGGACCCACUCUUGACGGCAGUGUUUCCUGUGGCUUCCCCGCCCCUCAGACAGCAGUGUGAGUACACUUCCAGUAGCUUCCUGGGUCCUCAGCCAGCAGUAUGAAUACACUUCCCGUGAGUACACCUUCUGUGGUUUUCCUCAGACGACAGUGUGAAUACGCGUCUGCUGCUAUUUCUAAGCUACUAACAAUUCUGUAGGCCCGUGGACACGGCUAAUAAUUAUCCCAAUCCAGACAGCAUUCAAGGGCAUAUACUGGCUGAUACUCAGACAUACUUUCAAUUGUGUUUACAGAUAGAUUAAGACUGGAAAGUUUGAUCAAAAUUUCUGAGCCUCAGGUACCCACCCCAUCCUGAGAGGCAUUAAAUAAAAAAAAAACGUGUGCUCAGUAAAUAUUUCUAGACUAACUUUCUGAAGUUACAUAAAUGCCCAUUAGACGAUAUUUUAGCAGUGACACAACUUCUGCAUGACCGUAUCACUGGUAAGAGCCUCUGGAAACACAUGCUUCCUUCCUUCAUAUUCAGCAUCCAUUACCGCUUUCCAUCAUGCCUCCUAAUGGCAAGAACAAAGCUCACCCUGUUUGAGACAAACUCUGCACAAAAGGGACAGCAUCUGCAAUCUCCCAUGGGAUGCACCCACCUACUGACUGGCCAGCAGAGUAGGAAUCUGUCCUUGUUCGGGACCGCUUGUUGCCUUUGGUAUUUGCUGGGGAAAGAAAUAAAGAGAGGAUAAAAAGUG